UCUGUGAGAGAGAAACAGCGACUGUAUGUGCUGUGAUAAUGAACGCGGCACAUUUACCUCAAAACUCUAGCUCUUCAGAGUUAACUGGGUUUAGUUAAACUGCCAAACGAUAAAAGCUCCAUAAAGUCUCAUUAGCGAAGUAAAGUAAGUUGAAGUAGUUUAGAUAUCACUUACGUCAUAUUUCUGCCGUUUCAGUUUAUCGUUCAGAUCGUAUUUUUCUGCUUCCAGCGACAUCAACGACUGCCACAGCUCAGUGGCUUUAUCCCUGGAACGAGUGACAGAAAUGAGGCGUUCCUGACGGGCUCGUCUCCGGCGCUCGCGAGCCACCUCCUCAUCAUCAUCAUAAGAGUUCAUCCUGUGGAGCCGAUGGGACACAGACACGUUUGAAUCUGGAAGUGUGAUGUGCUCGUGAGGCUGAAGGAAUUCCUCGAGUCGGGUCUCCUCAUUUUAUGAAGUGUGCAGCGGUUUAGACUCCGCCUCGCUGAGCUCCAUCACUUCAUCCUGCGCGCUCCUCUAUCCGUUGUGCUGGAAAUGGACCAAAAUCCGACGUUGAGCCAACAUCUUAAACCAACAUCAUAUUGACG